GAUGAACGCUGGCGGUCUGCUUAACACAUGCAAGUCGAACGGAAUCCCUCGGGAUUUAGUGGCGGACGGGUGAGUAACACGUAAGAACCUGCCUCUAGGACGGGGACAACAGUUGGAAACGACUGCUAAACCCGGAUGAGCCGAAAGGUAAAAGAUUUAUCGCCUAGAGAGGGGCUUGCGUCUGAUUAGCUAGUUGGUAAGGUAAAGGCUUACCAAGGCGACGAUCAGUAGCUGGUCUGAGAGGAUGAUCAGCCACACUGGGACUGAGACACGGCCCAGACUCCUACGGGAGGCAGCAGUGGGGAAUUUUCCGCAAUGGGCGAAAGCCUGACGGAGCAAGACCGCGUGGGGGAGGAAGGUUUUUGGAUUGUCAACCCCUUUUCUCAGGGAAGAACGCAAUGACGGUACCUGAGGAAAAAGCAUCGGCUAACUCCGUGCCAGCAGCCGCAGUAAGAC
rnacentral:rRNA from 1 species